rnacentral:rRNA from 1 species
GACGAACGCUGGCGGCGUGCUUAACACAUGCAAGUCGAACGGUGAUGCUCCAGCUUGCUGGAGUGGAUCAGUGGCGAACGGGGGAGUAACACGUGAGCAACCUGCCCCAGACUCUGGAAUAAGCGCUGGAAACGGCGUCUAAUACUGGAUACGAAACUGGCCCGCAUGGGCAUGGUUGGGAAAGUUUUUCGGUUUGGGAUGGGCUCGCGGCCUAUCAGCUUGUUGGUGAGGUAAUGGCUCACCAAGGCGACGACAGGUAGCCGGCCUGAGAGGGCGACCGGCCACACUGGGACUGCGACACGGCCCAGACUCCUACGGGAGGCAGCAGUGGGGAAUAUUGCACAAUGGGCGAAAGCCUGAUGCAGCGACGCCGCGUGAGGGAUGACGGCCUUCGGGUUGUAAACCUCUUUCAGCAGGGAAGAAGCGAAAGUGACGGUACCUGCAGAAGAAGCACCGGCUAACUACGUG